GACGAACGCUGGCGGCGUGCUUAACACAUGCAAGUCGAACGGAAAGGCCCUGCUUUUGUGGGGUGCUCGAGUGGCGAACGGGUGAGUAACACGUGAGUAACCUGCCCUUGACUUUGGGAUAACUUCAGGAAACUGGGGCUAAUACCGGAUAGGAGCUCCUGCUGCAUGGUGGGGGUUGGAAAGUUUCGGCGGUGGGGGAUGGACUCGCGGCUUAUCAGCUUGUUGGUUGGGUAGUGGCUUACCAAGGCUUUGAAGGGUAGCCGGCCUGAGAGGGUGACCGGCCACAUGGGUACUGAGAUACGGACCAGACUCCAACGGGAGGCAGCAGUGGGGAAUAUUGCACAAUGGGCGGAAGCGUGAUGCAGAAACGCCGCGUGCGGGAUGACGGCCUUCGGGUUGUAAACCGCUGUCGCCUGUGACGAAGCGUGAGUGACGGUAAUGGGUAAAGAAGCACCGGCUAACUACGUG
rnacentral:rRNA from 1 species